UACGGAGGGGGCUAGCGUUGUUCGGAAUUACUGGGCGUAAAGCGCACGUAGGCGGCUUUGUAAGUUAGAGGUGAAAGCCCGGGGCUCAACUCCGGAAUUGCCUUUAAGACUGCAUCGCUAGAAUUGUGGAGAGGUAAGUGGAAUUCCGAGUGUAGAGGUGAAAUUCGUAGAUAUUCGGAAGAACACCAGUGGCGAAGGCGGCUCACUGGCCCGGUACUGACGCUGAGGUGCGAAAGCGUGGGGAGCAAACGGG
rnacentral:rRNA from 1 species